rnacentral:siRNA from 1 species
CGAUGAUCUCUUUAUCUUUGU